rnacentral:rRNA from 1 species
CUACGGGGCGCUCCAGUAGGGAAUAUUGGACAAUGGGCGAAAGCCUGAUCCAGCAACGCCGCGUGUGCGAUGACGGCCUUCGGGUUGUAAAGCACUUUUAGAGGAGAUGAGAAAGGACAGUAUCCUCAGAAUAAGCCUCGGCGAACUACGUGCCAGCAGCCGCGGUAAAACGUAGGAGGCAAGCGUUAUCCGGAUUUAUUGGGCGUAAAGCGCGUGCAGGCGGUCUAGCAAGUUGGAUGUGAAAGCUCCCGGCUUAACCGGGAGAGGUCGUUCAAUACUGUUAGACUAGAGAAUGGGAGAGGGAGGUGGAAUUCUGGGUGUAGUGGUGAAAUGCGUAGAUAUCCAGAGGAACACCAGUGGCGAAAGCGGCCUCCUGGACCAUUUCUGACGCUAAGACGCGAAAGCUAGGGUAGCAAACGGAUUAGAUACCCCGGUAGUC